rnacentral:rRNA from 1 species
UACGUAGGGUGCAAGCGUUGUCCGGAAUUAUUGGGCGUAAAGAGCUCGUAGGCGGCUUGUCGCGUCUGCUGUGAAAUCCUGAGGCUCAACCUUGGGCGUGCAGUGGGUACGGGCAGGCUAGAGUGCGGUAGGGGAGAUUGGAAUUCCUGGUGUAGCGGUGGAAUGCGCAGAUAUCAGGAGGAACACCGAUGGCGAAGGCAGAUCUCUGGGCCGUAACUGACGCUGAGGAGCGAAAGCAUGGGGAGCGAACAGG